rnacentral:rRNA from 1 species
GACGAACGCUGGCGGCGUGCUUAACACAUGCAAGUCGAACGGAAAGGCCCCCACUUUUUUGGUUGGUGUGCUCGCGUGGCGAACGGGUGCGUAACACGUGGGUGAUCUUCCCUGUACUUUGGGUUAAGCUUGGUAAACUGGAUCUAAUACCGGAUAGGACCCUGGAUUGUUGUCUCUUGGUGGUAAAAUUGUUUUGGCGGUGCAGGAUGGACUCGCGGCGUGUCAGCUUGUUGGUGGGUUAGUGGCCUACCAAGGCGUCGACGGGUAGCCGGCCUGAGCGGGUGACAGGCAACAUUGGGACUGAGAUACGGCCCAGACUCCGAGGGGAGGCAGAAGUGGGGAAUAUUGCACAAUGGGCGGCAGCCUGAUGCAGCAACGCCGCGUGCGGGAUGACGGCCUUCGGGUUGUAAACCGCUUUCGCCUGUGAAGAAGCGGGAGUGAAGGUAAUGGGUAAAGAAGCACCGGCUAACUACGUG